CAGCAGCCGCGGGAAUACGUAGGGUGCGAGCGUUAAUCGGAAUUACUUGGCGUAAAGCGUGCGCAGGCGGUUCGUUAAGACAGAUGUGAAAUCCCCGGGCUUAACCUGGGAACUGCAUUUGUGACUGGCGAGCUAGAGUAUGGCAGAGGGGGGUAGAAUUCCACGUGUAGCAGUGAAAUGCGUAGAGAUGUGGAGGAAUACCGAUGGCGAAGGCAGCCCCCUGGGCCAAUACUGACGCUCAUGCACGAAAGCGUGGGGAGCAAACAGGAUUAGAUACCCGCGUAGUCCCUGUCUCUUAUAC
rnacentral:rRNA from 1 species